ensembl:lncRNA
UUUCUUUAAAAGUUUAUUUCUGGUGAAUACAAAAAAAUAAUUUCUGUGGCCAGAUAAAUAGCAUACAGACACUAUGACAUCAGGGAUGGACCAUUCCCGAUUCCUUCUGGAUUUGCAGCCUGAAGAAGGCAAGCUGCCAAGCAAAAGCCUGUCUCAUACACCCUGGAACAAUUGAGUCCGAGGUUCAGCAUUGAAAACAUGGAUGCUUGUAAGAAAGGUAAGGAAGCAGAUUCACAGCAAGAAAAGGGUUGAACUUCAAUUAGGAAAAAAAAAUCCCUUCAUAGUGUUUUUUUUUUUUUUUUAAAGAAAAAUCAACAUAAAGUCCAUUUCUAAUGACAUAACACAUUACCAUUUAUAGAGGGAGAAAGAUGGAGCCAGUGAAGGGUAGGAAUCUUAUGGGAUGUCAAGAGCAUCUUAGUCCAUUAACCCAGAAUGCAAAGUCUGUGGGAGGUUUGGCCCAAUCCCAGGGAGAAGACAUUUAACUUACUUGCAAUAUUUCUCGAAAGCAGAGAGACUCAGAUACCACUGAGAAAUGGGGAAUUUGAGACUUUUAUUAACUAUAGAGAAAUCUAUCUAUUGCAUAUUCAUUUUCACCUUCCAGAAUUCCAAAACUAGCAGCGGUGUGUUCUUAUGCCAUUUUUUUUCCAGUUGUAGAGUGGGAAAAAUAAUUUGCACUAGAUAGUAGGAAAACAUGAUUCCAGAGGAACUUUUAAUGAAGUUUGCUGCCCACCUCCGGAUGGAGAAGUGAUAGUUUUUGGUCUUGGUCAAUUGGGGAUUGAUUUUUGACUUUGCUCACCUUUAUAAAGGUUUUGGAUUUCUUCACCCCUUGUGGUAUUUCUCUUACUCCCAUCCCCUACCUUCCUCAAUAAAUACAAUUUAUUCAAUAAAAAGGUGGGACAGAGGGGAAAAAAUGCUUGUUUACUGAAAAAAAAAAAAACUAAAACUAAGUAGUGGGAAAGAUAACCCAGGCUGUAAUCCGUAAUUCAGAAAGCUAAAUUCAGUGAAGUUUCCUACUAUCUUUUGUUCUGUCUUUACCACAAAGAACACUAGCCCUUAUAUGGAGCGACCGGGCUCAAUGAGUGCUCCAGCUUUUACUCUGAACAAAUACACGAAUUUAAGCUGUUUAUAUCUAAGGCUGUAGAGAUAUUUUAUUUGUGUUUCCAGUGUUAUCUUCUUCUUUGGGUUCUAGAAGAGCCCUUAUUAUAAGAGUAUAACCUAAAUUACAUCUUUAUUUUAAUCUAGAAAUUUGGUUUAAAGCAUAGACAAAAAGUCAUGACUAAAGGUGGAAGAUUAUCAACCCCAUCUUUCAAGUCUAUAUACUAGCUACAUAUAUCUCCUUUGGGAGAAUGAAUUUGCACCUUUCCCUUUCUGCUAAGCUUAAAAAUGGCCCAGUGCAACAAUAUGGGACAGGAAACUUAAUUAAGAAGAAGGCACAAGGUUCUGGGAGACACCCAAGGAAAAACCAUCUCUUUGAUUAGGAGAGGGAGGCUGGAUAGGACAUUUUGAGUUAGUGGAUGCGAGGGAUUUCUAAAAGCUGGACCUGGGGUCUAGAGUCCAAAUUCUAGUGAGGUACCUUAGUCAGUGGUACUAGAAAUACCAGCUGGCAACUCUGCAAAUGCCUCUAAGACAGAUAGACAUUCUCAUAUUCAUUCUCUUUCUCUCUCUUACACACACACACACACAUACACACACGAUAGAAAUUUAAAAAAAAAUCUAAUUGUACAUCUUACAGAUCAUAGUAUCACAAUAGAACCCAAAUUCUAAAUUUUUUUUUUCGGAUUUUAAAUUUUUAGAUUUUUGUGUGGUUUUUCUCUUUUGUUGGUGAUGGUAAAGAAGAUUGUAAAUUUGUUUUGUCCAUACACUCACUGGGUAUAUAUUAACAGGAGUACACUCUCAGAAAACCAGUACAUGCAAAUAUAAGAUGCCAUUAAGAGUUCAUUACUAUAAAUCUCAUUUCUUCUAUGAAAUCAGUAUGUAAAGAAGCUUAAAAAGAUGUGUACUUCUUAGGCUGGACUCUAAGCAGAGCAGAGGCUCAGGACCUAUCACAGCUGGUCUAACACUUCCUAUCAUUCUGUUAAAGAACAAAUUUCAAAAAGCUAUACUUAAUGAAUUUCCAGUUUUCCUCUUAUUUUAUGCACUGAUACCUGGUAUUGAUUAGGAGAUGAAUCAAUAAUUAAAGUCUAUGACUGAAUAUAAAACAUUUAGCACCUGUGACUUUUGGACCUUUUAGCCCUUUGCCCAAAUACCUUUUUGUAAAAAAAAUCAGAUUAUCUUGGGUAUCUUACUGACCAUUUUCAUCUCUGGGCCUAGUUUAGUUUUGGAACAAUGGAGAUCAUUUUACAGAGAGAAACACUAAGUUGCUUCCUGUUAUUCAUUUCAAAGUGACUUUUUUUUCUUUUCUUCUGAGGCAAUUGGGAUUAAGUGACUUGCCCACGGUCACACAGCUAGGAAGUGUCUUCAAGAGUAGAUUUGAAUUCAGGUCCUCUUGACUUCAGGGCUGGUGCUCUAUCUACUGCAUCACCUAGCUGCCCCCAAAGUGACUUCUUAAAUACUCAACAACAACUCUUCAGUUAGCAGGCCUUUGGACUAUGGGGAUCAAAAUAAAACUCUAGGUCCUAACAUAAGAAAAAAAGGCCAGACCAGCACAUCUCACAUUUAAUAGGCAAUGUAACCUUGUGUAUAUCUCUAUGGGUGACCCUUAUCUAAACCAGAGAUUUAGAGAGCCUUGAUUAUCACACCUCCUUGAUGACAGAACCGUCAAGAUCGGAUUUGGAAUCAAGAGACUUGGACUCAAGUCCUCACUAUUAUUUACCAGCUAUCUGACUUUUAUCAAAUCACGUCAUCUCUCCCUCUUUUGACCUUAAUUUUCUCCUAGUAAAAUAAGGAGUGGGAAGUUGGAUUAGAUCAGGGUUUUUAAGCUUGGUUGUGAACUUUUAUAAUUAUAUUUCAAUUUCUUAUGUAAUUCUAUAUAUUUUAUUUUCUGUAUUUAAUAAACAAUCUGAGAAGGGGUCUAGAAGUUUCAAAGUGACAAAGGGGUUCCGAACUCAAAGAUGAUUAAGGACCCCUUCUGUGUAUAGCUAUAAUCCUAUGAAAAGAAAGUGAUUUCUUGGAACAAAGACUCAUAUUUGGGGAUACUGUCUUUCAGAAAACUCUGAAUUUUAGGG